rnacentral:rRNA from 1 species
GGAGGGGUGCAAGCGUUAAUCGGAAUUACUGGGCGUAAAGGGCGCGUAGGUUGUAUGUUAAGUUAUAUUUGAAAUUUAUGGGGCUUAACCUGUAAAGGAGAUAUGAUACUGGCAAACUAGAGUACUGUAGAGGAGAGAGGAAUUUCCGGUGUAGCGGUGAAAUGCGUAGAUAUCGGAAGGAACACCAGUGGCGAAGGCGACUCUCUGGGCAGAUACUGACACUGAGGCGCGAAAGCGUGGGUAGCGAACAGGAUUAGAUACCCUGGUAGUCCACGCCGUAAACGAUGAAGACUAGCCGUUGGGUACAUUAGUAUCGAGUGGCGCAGCAAACGCGAGAAGUUUUCCGCCUGGGGAGUACGGCCGCAAGGUUA